rnacentral:rRNA from 1 species
UAGGGAAUAUUGGGCAAUGGACGGAAGUCUGACCCAGCCAUGCCGCGUGCAGGAGGAAGGCGCUCAGCGUUGUAAACUGCUUUUAUCGGGGAAGAACGGCAGUCCUGCGGGAUUGUGUGACGGUACUCGAGGAAUAAGCACCGGCUAACUCCGUGCCAGCAGCUGCGGUAAUACGGAGGGUGCGAGCGUUGUCCGGAUUUAUUGGGUUUAAAGGGUGCGUAGGUGGUUGAGUAAGUCUGGUUUGAAAGUCAGUCGCUUAACGAUUGAGGGUGGCUGGAUACUGCUGAACUUGAAUGCCCUGGAGGUAGGUGGAACGGGUUGUGUAGCGGUGAAAUGCUUAGAUAUGACAUAGAACACCGAUUGCGAAGGCAGCUCACUACGGAUGUAUUGACACUGAGGCACGAAAGCGUGGGGAUCAAACA